AUCGCUUCUUGGCCUUUUGGCUAAGAUCAAGUGUAGAAUUGAACCAAACUUUUGAACAAAUGGACUUAGUAGAUGUCUACAGACUGUUCCACCCAGCAACAUCAGUAUACACAUUCUUCUCAAGUGCACAUGGGACUUUUUUCAGAAUAAACCAU
ensembl:snRNA U2 U2 spliceosomal RNA